CACACCAAAUUCUCUACGCAACUAUUCACAUCAGAUUUAUUUAUAAUAGUCAAAAACUAGAAACAACUAGAAUGUCCUACAAUUGGUGAAUGGUUAAACAACUGUGAUACUUCCAUACCAUGGAACAGUAUUCAGCAAUGAAAAGCAACAAACUAUUGAUACACACAACUUAGGUGAAUCUUGAAGUUAUCCAGAAGGAAGAAAGCCAAAUCCAAAAGGUAGUAUACUUUAUGAUUCCAUUGAUAUAUAACAUUCCUUUUUUACUUUUAUUUUGUGGUUUUUCUUUGAGACAGGCUCUUGCUCUGUCAUCCAGGCUGGAGGGCAGUAGCAUGAUCAUGGCUCAUUGCAGCCUCAAAUUUCUGGGCUCAAGCAAUCCUCCCACCUCAGCCUCCUGAGUGACUGGUACCACAGGGACAUGCCACCACGCCCAGCUAACGUUUUUUUACUUUUUUAAAUAUAAAGUCUCCCUAUAUUGCCCAGGCUGGUCUCGAACUCAUAGGCUCAAAGUAUCCUCCCACCUCAGCUUCUCAAAGUGCUGAAAUUACAGACAUGAGCCACCAUGCCUAUACAACAUCCUUUUUUUGGGGGGUGGGGGAUGGAGUGUCACUUUGUCGCCCAGGCUGCAGUGCAGUGGCAUGGCACGAUCUGAGCUCACUACAACCUCUGCCUCCCAGGUUCAAGCCAUUCUCCUGCCUCAGCCUCCCGAGUAGCUGGGAUUACAGGCCCAGCUAAUUUUUGUGUUUUUAGGAGACACAGGGUUUCACUAUGUUGGACAGGCUGGUCUCAAACUCCUGACCUCCGGUGAGCCACCCGCCUCGGCCUCCCAAAGUGCUGGGAUUACAGGCGUGAGCAACCUCACCGGGCUAAAUUUGUAUUUUUCCUUGAUAGCUAUUUUGUCCCAGCUGCUCUCUCAAGAUUCAUAAAAGGAAAAACAUUGUAUAUUUCAUAUUGUGUACUCUUUUUCAGAACCCAGGAAUGCAAAUAUUUUUCUGUUCUCCAUCAUCAUGAGGGAAAAUAUCCUAAACAAAGUCUUGCUUUAGAAAACUGAAUACAAUGAGGAGACAUUUGUUCAUUCAUUCAUUCGAUAAUGGAGAAGUUUCUUUACAAACACUGCAAACGAAGUCAACGUUCUGAAUUUUAUGUCUUAUGGCCAUAGUUUUGUUUACUAUUCAUCACAUGUGAAUAAAACCAGCUAAAUGGAAUAGAACAUAUACAAUAUAAAAGUUCAUGAAAUAGCUAGUACUAAAUAGAAUAAACAUAGGAUUUUGUGUGGAAAUCUUCCUCAAAGUAGAAAACUGAUUAAAAGGAAGAAUUUCAAUGGAAAUUGCUAUAAUUAAUAAAUUGCUAAAGCUGUUUUCAGGUAAAUGUUAAUGAACUGAAAAGAACUAUUCUUAAAAUUAGCUAUCUGCCUUUCAACUUAUUCUUAGUCAAGGGUCUAAUAAAAUAUAAUCAGACAUUCUUUUCUAUUUCUUUUUUUCCCCCCACUUUUUAGAAAAGACAGGUUCUUGCUGUGUCACCCAGGCUAGAGUGCAGUGGCAUGAUCACACUUCACGGCAGCCUCAAAAUCCUGGGCUAAAAGCACCCUCCCACCUCAGCCUCCCAAGCAGCUAGGAUAGCUAUUCUCUAAACAUUUUUUUGCAGAGAUGGGGUCUCACUAUGUUGUCCAGGCUGGUCUCGGACUCCUGGUCUCAAGCAGUCCUCUCAUGUCAGCCUCCCAAACUGUAGGGUUUACACUGUGCCCAGCUGACAUUCUUUCUUAAUUAUCUAAUCACCUAUUCCCUUUCUCUUAUUUCCUCUAUCAAGAGAAAAAACAAUUAAUUUGUCUGCUUAGGUUUCUUCAUUUGUGCAAGUUUAAAAUAUAGCUUUGACA
rnacentral:lncRNA from 1 species